UUAAUAAAAAUUUUCCCAAAUCCAAUAAUGAUACAAUUUAGUUCACUUAUUCUGUGAGUUCGCAGACGGUCUAGCUCUUGGAAGAUGUUUUUUCUCUUUCUGAGCGCGUCUUCUUCUCUUUUUCUCAAUGUAUUUAUCCAAAGCCUUUGUCCCUUCCAUAGAUUUAUAUUUAUCCAUCUGUAUUAACUUCUUUUGUUCGUUCCUUUUCAAAUAAAACGGUUUCUUCCCUUCUUUAACCCUUUCUUUUUCUUGAGCACGGAAUUCAUGCAUGACACGUUCGGCCCUUUCCUCCUCGAGAUGUCUCUCCAUCUUAGAAAGUAAAGACUUUAAAGUUUGUCGAAUACUCUCCGCCCGUUCUUGAUCUUUGCAAAUCUUCAAUUCAUCUCUUAAUUG